AGUAGAAGCCAAAAGGAUGUG
rnacentral:miRNA from 1 species